CAUGGGGUUAAGUGCCUCGCUCAAGGACACGUGCGUCAAAUUCAGGAGUCAAAAUAUUCUAUCAAACAGACGACUAUUGUACCCCCGAAGUGAGGAUUAGAGAAAGGAAAAUAUGACUUUGAAGGCUGAAUAUGAUUUUGUAGCAGUAAUGUUGGCCUGCAGUAGGAAUAAAACAUUUACCUGCUCAUACAGACGAGCAGUGACACAUCACUAUGACCGAAGGCGGUGAAAACGCAGCAGCUAUAGUCAGGCAAGAAAACAUUCCAGCUCCCCUUUGGUCGGCUCAUUGUGGGCUUGAACGUUCAGAGAAAACACCAUGUUCAUCACAUGUUUUUCUACUAAAAUUAAAAAAGAAACUAUUUUACUGACUACAAAAUGAGUCCAUUCUGAAUUUUCAGAGGGUGAACUCUUCAUUGCCCUUCAGUGUGCUGAGCCCAGAGCAUAACAGAACGGUGGAGCAUCGCUGUAAACCUCAGAUGCACCUCUGUGCUGAUGCCAGUGGAGAAGCCAACACAGUGGAAAACAAUUCUCCUAACAACAGGCCUGCUGCCACUCAGCUGAAGGAAAUGAACUGUCGACAGCGAAGGAUCUGAAGACGCGUCUUUCCUUUCCAUAAUUAACUGAGCUCGUGAGUAUAAAUAAUCGAGUGGGGAAAUCUGCAACAUAAUGACUGCAUUACAUUUGAGUAAUUCAUAGUGAGAACACUUGAAAAGAAUACAAUGCAGGCUCUGAGGGAUCUGCAUGGAAUUGUAUUUAUUUCUGAACUCACAUCAUCAACGUCCUGAAUAAUACUUGAAGUCAACCCUCAACUUCAAAAAUUAUAAGAUGCCAUCAUUUA